rnacentral:rRNA from 3 species
GAUCCUGCUCAGAUUGAACGCUGGCGGCAUGCUUUACACAUGCAAGUCGAACGGCAGCGCGGGCUUCGGCCUGGCGGCGAGUGGCGAACGGGUGAGUAAUAUAUCGGAACGUACCCAGGAGUGGGGGAUAACGUAGCGAAAGUUACGCUAAUACCGCAUACGUCCUAAGGGAGAAAGCGGGGGAUCGCAAGACCUCGUGCUCAUGGAGCGGCCGAUAUCUGAUUAGCUAGUUGGUGGGGUAAAGGCUCACCAAGGCAACGAUCAGUAGCUGGUCUGAGAGGACGACCAGCCACACUGGAACUGAGACACGGUCCAGACUCCUACGGGAGGCAGCAGUGGGGAAUUUUGGACAAUGGGGGCAACCCUGAUCCAGCAAUGCCGCGUGAGUGAAGAAGGCCUUCGGGUUGUAAAGCUCUUUUGUCAGGGAAGAAACGAUCCUCUCUAAUACAGGGGAUUAAUGACGGUACCUGAAAGAAUAAGCACCGGCUAACUACGUGCCCAGCAGCCGCGGUAAUACGUAGGGUGCAAGACGUUAAUUCGGAAUUACUGGGCGUAAAGCGUGCGCAGGCGGUUUUGUAAGACUGUCGUGAAAUCCCCGGGCUUAACCUGGGAAUGGCGAUGGUGACUGCAAGGCUAGAGUUUGGCAGAGGGGGGUAGAAUUCCACGUGUAGCAGUGAAAUGCGUAGAGAUGUGGAGGAACACCGAUGGCGAAGGCAGCCCCCUGGGUCAAAACUGACGCUCAUGCACGAAAGCGUGGGGAGCAAACAGGAUUAGAUACCCUGGUAGUCCACGCCCUAAACGAUGUCUACUAGUUGUCGGGUCUUAAUUGACUUGGUAACGCAGCUAACGCGUGAAGUAGACCGCCUGGGGAGUACGGUCGCAAGAUUAAAACUCAAAGGAAUUGACGGGGACCCGCACAAGCGGUGGAUGAUGUGGAUUAAUUCGAUGCAACGCGAAAAACCUUACCUACCCUUGACAUGGAAGGAAUCCUUGAGAGAUUGAGGAGUGCCCGAAAGGGAACCUUUACACAGGUGCUGCAUGGCUGUCGUCAGCUCGUGUCGUGAGAUGUUGGGUUAAGUCCCGCAACGAGCGCAACCCUUGUCAUUAGUUGCUACGAAAGGGCACUCUAAUGAGACUGCCGGUGACAAACCGGAGGAAGGUGGGGAUGACGUCAAGUCCUCAUGGCCCUUAUGGGUAGGGCUUCACACGUCAUACAAUGGUACAUACAGAGGGCCGCCAACCCGCGAGGGGGAGCUAAUCCCAGAAAGUGUAUCGUAGUCCGGAUUGUAGUCUGCAACUCGACUACAUGAAGUUGGAAUCGCUAGUAAUCGCGGAUCAGCAUGUCGCGGUGAAUACGUUCCCCGGGUCUUGUACACACCGCCCGUCACACCAUGGGAGCGGGUUUUACCAGAAGUAGGUAGCUUAACCGCAAGGGAGGGCGCUUACCACGGUAGGAUUCGUGACUGGGGUGAGUC